UGUCCCAGUAGCUCAGCAGGAUAGAGCAACAGUUUCCUAAACUGUAGGUCGGGGGUUCGAAUCCCUCCUGGGACGUCC
rnacentral:tRNA from 1 species